CAAAAUCAAUGAUAAUAACGAGACCGAUGAAAAUAAGGAUAAAAUGAUCUUUUAUCGUGUGUGUAUAUAUAUACCAGUCUACACCGCUGAAAAUAAGGACAAAAUCAAUGGCUACACCGCUGUACCAGCCUAACCCGAUUCGUCCGCCCGCGCACGUUAGCCGUUUUCUCUCUCCUCCUCUUUGUCCCCUACAAUUAGUGAUGGGUUUUUGAAUCUGAUUGACGAGAGGGAUCCGCGGGGUGGAGGUGUGAAACCCUGGCCUACAAUUCUUGAGCCGGGGGGGAAUCGCUGGUGGGAGAUUGGAGAUGUAGUGGGAGGGAGGGAGAAUCUACCGAAGGAGUACAGAUUGGAAGGACGAUGUCGUGGUUGUCGAGCCAGGAGAGGCACUCGAAACCGUAUCUACGGCUCUACUCGUCCUUCGGUUGGCGCUUUCUCAUCUGCCAUGCCGAUUUCCUCACUUUAGCUUUUCCAUUUUGGUUCUGGUGCUGGCUUAGAGAAUUAGUCACCACAAUCGGUCAGCAUUUUCAUAGAUAAAGAUUUGGCAGCCCUAACUUCUCCAAUUUGAACUGCACAUCUAGUAAGUGAAUAAAAUUUUCUCUUUUGAAUCUAUAUGCUUUUGAAUCUUAUACAAGUUCUCCAUCUUUGGUCAAUUUGUUUUAAAGUAGCCAACUUCAACUUGCAUAACUAUGACCAGAAAACAGCCAACAAAACAGAAAAACUCGUGUUUUUGACAACAGGCUUUCUAUCUGUGGUCUCCAUCCCCUGUGUAAUAGACCGCAUUCAUGUUCAUAUACAAUGUAGUAACUAUUAUGCAGAUCAAUUUGAGGAAAACGCAACACGAAAUAGUAUCAUGCAGUCUUUUAUGCUGUUAUUUCGUGCCAACCUACGAUGAUAUAGCCAUCUGACAUAAGGACACAGUUACAUAACGAUAUGAUUGCGUGCAUAGGACGCAGUUACAUAUGAUCGCCUGCAUAGAACUCGUAGUGAAUAGUUUUUUUUUCUUAUUUUACAGCUACUAUGUAGUAAUUUUCAUGCCCAUAUUUUUUUGGGCAAAGAUUAUGAGGUUUUCAAUCUCACCAUCAUCAAUGUAGCCAUUCCGAUUUGUGUCAGCUUGUCGGAGUCCACGACCACUCUUCCAGGUUGUAAACCAUCCUCCUCUGCUGCGGAUGGCCUCCCGAAGCUCAGCUUUGCUGAUGCGUCCAUCCUUGUUGGCGUCGAAACUCUUCAGCCAUCUUUUGAAGUCCUCCAUGGAUAUUUCUUCAUUCAUUGACUGAGACGGUGUGAUAGGCAUGAUAAAUUUCUAAUGUCUGCAAACUUGAGUGGAAUGCAAUGCUUGCAACUCCGAUCAUUUAUAUAGACCUCAGCAAGGUCUUUACAACGUGAGCAACAUGGACUACUUGAUGGGCACCUUUAUUCCAUGUUAUCUAGGAGUGUUUCUUGAGAUUCUCUUCAGAAUGUUUCUGGUUUCAGUCAGAUGUCCUUUGGUUGCUAUUGAAGAUUAACUUUGACAAAAGUGCCUCUGUAUCAUGAUGACUCGAUUUUUUCCCCCCCUUUAUUCUGUGCAGUUCAAAUAAUUGAAGGAAUCUUUUGUAUGCCUUCCUUAUUGGAUAUUUUUUUAGUGCCUUGAUACCAAAUAAAGAUAA